rnacentral:rRNA from 1 species
UACGGAGGGUGCAAGCGUUAUCCGGAUUUACUGGGUUUAAAGGGUGUGUAGGCGGAUUAUUAAGUCAGCGGUGAAAUCUCCGGGCUCAACCCGGAAACUGCCAUUGAUACUAUUAGUCUUGAAUAUUGUUGAGGUGGGCGGAACGGGUCAUGUAGCGGUGAAAAUGCAUAGAUAUGACCCCGGAACACCGAUUGCGAAGGCAGCCCACUAAGCAAUGAUUGACGCUGAGGCACGAAAGCGUGGGGAUCAAACAGG